GGAUGAAGAACGUAGCGAAAUGCGAUAAGUAAUGUGAAUUGCAGAAUUCAGUGAAUCAUCGAAUCUUUGAACGCACAUUGCGCCCCUUGGUAUUCCGAGGGGCAUGCCUGUUCGAGCGUCAUUUAACCCCUCAAGCUCAGCUUGGUGUUGGGGCCUGCUGCACUGGCAGCCCUUAAAAUCAGUGGCGGCGCCAUCUGGCUCUAAGCGUAGUAAUUCUUCUCGCUAUGGAGUCCUGGUGGAUGCUUGCCAUCAACCCCCAAUUUUUCUAUGGUUGACCUCGGAUCAGGUAGGGAUACCCGCUGAACUUAAGCAUAUCAAUAAGCGGAGGA
rnacentral:misc_RNA from 1 species